CCCUCUGUGGUCUAAUGGUUAUGACGCUCGUUUUAGCAACGAGAGGUCGCAGGUUCGAAUCCCGUUGGAGGAA